UACAGAGGUCUCAAGCGUUGUUCGGAUUCAUUGGGCGUAAAGCGCGUGUAGGCUGCUUGGCAAGUCGGAUGUGAAAGCCCUGGGCUCAACCCAGGAAGUGCAUUCGAAACUGCCGAGCUGGAGUCCUGGAGAGGAAGGCGGAAUUCUCGGUGUAGAGGUGAAAUUCGUAGAUAUCGAGAGGAACACCGGUGGCGAAGGCGGCCUUCUGGACAGUGACUGACGCUGGAGACGCGAAAGCGUGGGGAGCAAACAGG
rnacentral:rRNA from 1 species